UACGUAGGCAGCGAGCGUUGUUCGGAGUUAACUGGGCGUAAAGAGUGCGUAGGCGGUUUUCUAAGUUUGGUUGUGAAAUCUCCCGCUUAACUGGGAGGGUGCGCCGAAGACUGGAAGGCUUGAGUAUGGGAGAGGUAAGCGGAAUUCCUGGUGUAGCGGUGGAAAUGACGCAGAUAUCAGGAAGAACACCGGUGGCGAAGGCGGCUCUCUGGGCCUUAACCUGACGCUGAGGAGCGAAAGCGUGGGUAGCGGAACAGGA
rnacentral:rRNA from 1 species